CACUUAAAUGUAGAAAAAAAAAAAAAUUGAAACAAAAUGCAGAGAGAUCAGCAAAUAAAAAGGGCACACAGUUUUACUACUAUACUCCCCUGAGUCCUUGAGCAC